UACGUAGGGCGCAAGCGUUGUCCGGAAUUAUUGGGCGUAAAGAGCUCGUAGGCGGUCUGUCGCGUCGGUCGUGAAAACUUGGGGCUUAACCCUGAGCUUGCGGUCGAUACGGGCAUGACUGGAGUUCGGCAGGGGAGACUGGAAUUCCUGGUGUAGCGGUGAAAUGCGUAGAUAUCUGGAGGAACACCGGUGGCGAAGGCGGCAUCCUGGACCAACACUGACACUGAUGAGCGAAAGCCAGGGGAGCAAACGGG
rnacentral:rRNA from 1 species